rnacentral:tRNA from 1 species
GUUUGUUUAAUUUAAUGACAAUGUUUCAUUGAAAGUGCAAAAAGCAGGAAUUCAUUCUUCAUAACAAAUA